GAUGAAGAACGUAGCGAAAUGCGAUAAGUAGUGUGAAUUGCAGAAUUCAGUGAAUCAUCGAAUCUUUGAACGCACAUUGCGCCCUUUGGUAUUACUUAGGGCAUGCCUGUUCGAGCGUCAUUUAAACCUUCAAGCUAAGCUUGGUGUUGGGUGACUGUCCGCUUCACGGCGGACUCGCCUCAAAAUUAUUGGCGGCCGGUACAUUGGCUUCGAGCGCAGCAGAAACGCGAACUCGGGCCCGUCGUAUUGGCUCCCAGAAGCUAUCUUCACAAUUUUGACCUCGGAUCAGGUAGGGAUACCCGCUGAACUUAAGCAUAUCAAUAAGCGGAGGA
rnacentral:misc_RNA from 1 species